rnacentral:rRNA from 1 species
AUUGAACGCUGGCGGCAUGCUUUACACAUGCAAGUCGAGCGGUAACAGGCCUUCGGGUGCUGACGAGUGGCGCACGGGUGCGUAAUGCAUCGGAACGUACCCAGAGGUGGGGGAUAACGCAGCGAAAGCUGUGCUAAUACCGCAUGUGAUCUGAGGAUGAAAGCGGGGGACCGAGCAGCAAUGUUUGGCCUCGCGCCUUUGGAGCGGCCGAUGUCGGAUUAGCUAGUUGGUGGGGUAAAGGCCUACCAAGGCGACGAUCCGUAGCUGGUCUGAGAGGACGACCAGCCACACUGGGACUGAGACACGGCCCAGACUCCUACGGGAGGCAGCAGUGGGGAAUUUUGGACAAUGGGCGCAAGCCUGAUCCAGCAAUGCCGCGUGCGGGAAGAAGGCCUUCGGGUUGUAAAACGCUUUUGGCAGGAACGAAACGGUGUCCGCUAAUACCGGGCGCUAAUGACGGUACCUGCAGAAUAAGCACCGGCUAACUACGUG